ensembl:snoRNA U8 U8 small nucleolar RNA
UCGUCAGUGAGGUAUAUCCUUACCUGUUCUUCCAGAAAUGGAAAAACAGAAAAUGAUGAAUGGGUGCAUAUGAUUCUAUGAUUAGAAUUGCCUGGUUCUUGAGGACACAACACCCUCGAGUAACUCAUUCUGAU